rnacentral:tRNA from 1 species
ACAGUAUUAGCUCAGUUGGUUAGAGCAUCAGCCCAUAAUAGAAAUUUUUCAGUAUUUGAAAAAACAGCAAUAUAAUCUUAAACACGCAGAGGGUCAUUGGUUCGAGUCCAAUAUACUGUU